UGGUCACACUCACUGCUCUGGAGCUCAGCCAAAAGAGGAAAAGCAUUGCAAACACUCACAGAAGAACAUUUUGCAAGACAAGGGAAGGAAGUGCACGUGAAACCGAUUCUGGGCUUAAACAGAGAUCAUUUCUGACAAUAUCUCAUUCUUAACAUCAAACCCUGGGGAAGCAACUCGGACGUCUGUGCAUUUUCCUGCUUGCUACUUUACACGUGAACAGUUAAAAAUCACAGAAGAAGAGAGAAUAACGUAUCAAAUAUGGCCACCUGUACAUGUAUCUGCUGGAGUAUAUUUUGGCUUGUGGUCCUCCUCUUCGUGGCUUGGCCUCUCAGUAUGUUCUUAGGUGGCCUAUAUGGGUUCCUGGCUCCCCUAACAACCUGCGUAGGACUUGACAAAUUCACCGACCUCCUGCUUCAAGGCGUAAACCUGGGCAGAACCUGCGCGCUAAACAUCCGAACUGGAAAAUCUCUGUGCGAGUAGUAUGGACGCAAUGCCGGCCCAAAGUUCUAUUUUAAAAAACAUAUCAUUCCAAGUCUGCUGAUUGCAAUAACUUCUUCCUGUCUAAUAACAGCAUAGUUUAACUCUUGUUGCCUGAUCUGUACAAGGGUACAUCGUAAAUAUAAUAUAAUGGUGCUAUAAGUGGUAAGAAGAAGGCCAAAUGAUAGAAAACAUUCCUUUUCAUUGGUCCAGUUUACAUUUUUAUACAAUUUACAAAGCCUCAAUAUAAAUGAGUCAAAUAUAUAAACAAACAACACGCUUUUUGUACUGAUGCACAGAAUAAAGAAAGAAGCAGACAGGAGAAA